GCGUGAUCGUAGGCACACCCAGCUGUUUGCAGGGGCGUGGGCUAAAAGGCUUGCAACAGUUCAUGGCGUGUCUCGAUCGUAAAUCCCUUGGGCCGCAAGGCCCAUCCCGGUUCGAGUCCGGGCUCAGGCACCA
rnacentral:tRNA from 1 species